UGUUUGUUACGUUACCCUGUUAUGUGUUUCAAAGGAUUUUUCGUCAAAAAGUUUACGCCAUGCCAGCUGCUGAACCAGCAGCCUGCAUUCCUGCUAUCAAUGUACCACAAGAGAUCCUGACACUUUAAGAAGACCACUAAUGCUUACAUGAAGAUCACCAUCUAGUUCAAAUACUGUUAAUUGACCUCAAGCCUUUUGUUUAAGCUUAGUGGUGUGUUCUCUUGUCAGUCAACGACAGAGGCUUCAUCUACUUUGUGUUGCUAACCAUCAGCCCUCAGCAUCCCAGGUAUCCAGAUUUCCAAGUUUCUCUGAUAAGCCAACCAUCAUCCAUACCCUUCAGCUCUUCAUUGUGGCUUCUCUUCCUCUCUUCUUAGUCUGCUGAAUCCCAACAUUGAAUAAGGGUCAUCAUCACGAAAAUCUGCAUUGUUAAUCCUGCUGUUCUUCUCCCUGUUACUUAGCCAGCUCACAUGGAUAUGCUUUAAAAAACAUCUCCAUUUUUUGAACUGCAAAUUUUCAUCUUCCUUUGGUACAACACUGCCGUUUUGACAAUUUCGGUAGUUUCGCCCCCAGUGGACCACACGCAACUACAUUUUCUUCGUCUUCUUGUCGUUGUUGUCUACGACUUCACCUCAUCGCUGUCUUCGUUUACGUCUUCGCCUUCAUCUCCAUCUCGUCGUCUUCGUCGUCUUCGCCCUCUUUGUCUACGCCAUCACCUCGUCGCCGGCUUUGUCUACGCCAUCACCUCUUCGCCGGCUUUGUCUACGCCAUCACCUCUUCGCCGGCUUUGUCUACGCCAUCACCUCGUCGCCGGCUUUGUCUACGCCAUCACCUCGUCACCGGCUUUGUCUACGCCAUCACCUCGUCGCCGGCUUCUCCUUCGCCCUUCACGUAGGGAACUCACCGUGGAUCGUCGCUCUGGUAUUGUUUUAUUUUGCAUUCUUAUGUUUAAGUUAACCCGUUGGCUGCCACCCCGUUUGCGUCCCAUUUUUUUUGUAGCUUGUAGGGACCGGCCGCAAUGGCCUUCGCCGCAAGGCGCCUUAGGCAA
rnacentral:lncRNA from 1 species